CAAUCACAAAGAACACAGAUUAUUGCAGCGCCAUUUCAAACAGAAACUGCAGAGGAUGAAUUCAUUAUUGACGAUGAUGAUGGUGAUCAAAUGUCACCUUACUCUAGCGAGAGCAGUGACGAAGAUGUAGCCGAUGAAAUGCAUUUCACUUCUGACCACAGUGCAGAACAUUCUGCGUGAUGGUGAUAAGUUGAUAAUUAUUGUGCUUGCAUAAGUCUGUUCUCCAAUGUUGAAUUUCAACCAUGUAAUUAAGUGAAUUAAUAGUUUCCUUUCAUUACAUCCUAACAAAAGGUUUUGAAAACAAUUAAAUUUUGUUUCUAAUUAUUUGUGACACUAAGGCUAUUUUUAUUCUUUAUACUUUCACGGCUAAAUCUUAUAUUUUUUUGUCUGUCUUUUUAGCAUUGAUUAUAGUGAUAGUCGUAAUAUAGUCGUAAAUUAUAUAGGCCGUCCGCUGCGUCCUGAUAUCGUUCACUUUCAUUUAGCAUGUCUUAGAUCUGAAAUAUUUUUACGGGAACUAACACUUUCAAGCACGCUGAGUUUAGAUCCGAAAAGUUCCCGCUCCGUAGACCCGCAGUUUUCUCACAAACUGCUAUUUUAUCUUCAAUAAUUUCACGACAAAUUUUUUAUUGUUCAACCACACGGAUCGAUGACGAUACACGAUUACUGUCACUCAAAAGGACCAUUUUCUAUUAACCAGUCUCCCUUUUAACAAAAGACCGGACAACGCAUCUUGUCCACAACUUUGAGAAAGUACAGAUAAUGCUUUCUAAAAUCCUUAUAGUUCUAGCGAUAUCUCUAUAAAAUCGCAAGGAAGUUAAUGUUAAGUCUUUUGGCUAUGUCACUGGCCUAAAAAAUAACUCUUUUAACGCGAUCAAGGUAUUUGAAACAAAAGUAACGCGAAGCCAACGUAACGGCAAAGACAACGAUAAAUUGAAAUAUUGUCGAUUGUUUGCUGGUGGAAGACUUACGACAGGAUCAAUCGUAAAAAAACCCUAAACUAUAAGAAUAAAUGUUCACAUAUAAAGACAAAUAUAGUAUACUUACGACGAAGUGCAGAAAUGUGUGCAUGUCGCUUAUCGCACAGUAUAACGCUAACUGAUGUAAUAAUUCAAAUGCAAUGAUAAGUUAUCUCUUGAAUUACGUCUCGGAAACUGUUGGGAAUUUAAAUGCUGAUCCGUUACAUAAGAUUACCGUUUUACGUUUUUGUAUAAAACAGUUUGAUCGCAUGUAAGGAAUUAUUGCUUAGCCCAGAGACAUAGCCCAAAGACUUAACAUUCACGUCCUUGUGAUUUUGUAGAGAUAUAGCCAGAACUAAGGAUUUUAGAAAGAGUUAUCUGUACUCUCUCAAAGUUGUAGACAAGAUACGUUGUUUACGUCCAACACGCAUUAAAUUACAUAACUCAAAAUAUAAUUUCGAACAAAUUUAAACUGAUCUUUUGAAAGGAAGACUGGUUAAUAGAAAUUGGUCGUUUUGCAUGAUUGACAUAAUUGUGUAUCGUCAUCGAUCCGUGUCGUUGAACAAUGAAAACAUUUGCUGUGAAAUUUGUGAAGAUAAAAUAGCAGUUUGUCAGAAAACUGCAGGUCUAUAUACGGAGCGAGAACUUUUCGGAUUUGAACUCAGCGUGUUCGAAAGUGUUAUUUCUCGUAAAAAUAUUUCAGAUCUAAGACAUGCUCAAUGAAAAUCGUUUUCUAGACACUUUUCGAGGUCACAACACACGGACUAUUGUUAAUUCCAGUUUGCCUAAUUCAAAACUUGCUGUCGAACUAACCAGAUCCGUAAUUUACCGUAUUCCAAAAUGCAACUGCAAUCUGCAAUCUGGUGUUGAUGGUCUUGUAAUGAAAGUUGCGAUUCUAAAAACAAUACCUGCGUAAGUUAAAUCUUUCCAAAUUUGUACGGUAUUCACGAGUUGUGUCUUCCACCUCAAAAUUACAUGCAAGCUUGCGUGGUUGUCUUUUUCAUCUUACUUCACACAGUCAAUCUAAACAAAGCACUUUCUUUUCGGAUCUUUGCUUUCUAUUUCAUCAAGCAACACCUCAUCUUUCAAUCUCAUGGUAAGCCGUAUUGUAAAUCUUUCUAUCUAUUCCUUUCACUUUUCGGCUCGAACUGACGUACUAUCUUUUCAGCGGUAUCAUUGAAUGCUAUCAAAUACUAUGUUUGAUUUGUGCGUUUUCAGUCAAUACUGCGCUUUAUUCGGGCGGAGAAAAUUUCGACAACCUUAUACAAACCCCGUUUAUGUAUUGUGGAGUUGCUUUCCUUCCACUUUGUUUUUCAUCUUAACUGGCAAUUUCUCCUUGUAAUGAUGAAUUGUGGGAUCUAUCUUUUGUGGACUGUUUUUGUCUCUUUUAAGCACCAAUAUAUUUCGAUCCAAGUUAAUUCGGAUACCAAAACUAUACCGUAUAUAGCAAGUAAAUAUUUCGAAUGCCAAGACAAUAGCGAGAUAAGUUGCAGCAAGCGUUGCACAAUGCUGAAAUAGUUUUAUUGUACGCAACGGUUGCCACAAUCCUUACUUAAUAGCGUGUGUAACUUGUCUCGCAAAUCUUAAUUAAUGGCUCUUAUAAACAAUUUAGCGCAGAAGGGUAUCUGCAUGUAUCUGUCUUUAUGCUAUUUUUUUCGUUGUAAUUAGUUGUAUCAACGGUACAUUACCAGUACCGUAGCCAGUCCGACGAUUUUGCCGCUAUAUAUGCAAAUAUUUUCGUGUUCAUGCGUUGACUGUGAAAACAAACAAUUUCUAAAGAAAUGAAUAAUGAUAAUAAUUUUGAAUUUGCAUAACGGGACUCAAUUGUGGGGCUGGCUGCGCCAAUGUACAUUAUACAUCUUAGUGUAUGGUGUAAUACAAUGCAAUUAGGAAGACAGUACGUUCCCGCAUAUAUCUAUUCGAAGUUUCAGCUGGAUAAAAUGACUAUUUUAAAAAUAUGUGGCUAAACAUGGUUGAUAAAUAUAUCGAAAUUCUAAAGUACAUUCAUGUUGUGAUUCAUGAUUCAUGUUACCCUGACUCACAACGCGUCACUUGGCACAAUUUGCAUGGGAAAAUAAUAAGUUAAAUAUAUAGCUAUCAGCUUAUGCCAUCAAACAAAUGUAGCUGAAAUUAUAUAUUGUAUAUAUCGUAAUGUAUGUAGAGAGUUAGGGGGUGGAGAAGGUUGACAGACCAGCAAAUUGUGUUUGACCUGUUUUUUGGCUAGUUCACUUAUACAACAAACAAAUUUCAUCUAUUGUUUAAGUAAUUGAUCAACACUUGUUAUAUAAUCAAUUUCAUGAUGAGUUAUAUAAUGCAUAUUUCAAAAUGUCGAGCACUUGUCAUGCAUACUCUUGCUUCUUUUCUUCUCUAUUUAUAUGUGAAAGUUUACGAACACGUCACGAAGAAAAAUAUGUGAAGUAAAACUCAGUAGUCUGUCAAGUUCCAUAGUUUUUAUAGUCGGUCAUGCCAGGUUUCCGUUUGACCGUCAUUCAUGUCGUGAUCAAAUCAUGUUCGGCAAUGUGAAAUAGAAUGGAUAUACUGUAUCUCGUCUUCAGUAUGAUGAAUGCAAAUCAGUCUUUACUUAUACUGUAGAGAGAUAUACCGACACUCUAUUAAUCUUGAUAUGUUCACGAAGUUACGACUAAAGGGAAACUGGACUUACUAAAAGUUCUCAUUCAAUCGUAUUUGAAAGGCAUGCUUGGGGGUUAUAUAAAGUAAAUUAAGACUCUUAUAUUUCAGCUAUAGAAUUUUAGAUAGAUUCACAUGUGUCUAUCUAGUUAAUAUUUAUUAAUUAAUGUAUUUUGAGCGACAAUUUAGAUCAAUCUCAGACUGUCAACGAAACACACGAUAGAAAUAGGCAAUGUCUUGCAAAAUGUUUCAUGUCAUUUCAGGUAUGAAACAGCUGAUUCAUAUCUCAUAUUCAUUCUGAGUAUGAAAUGUGUGAUUUCGCACGUUGAUGAAAUAUUUCGUAUUCCUGAAAAUUAAAAACAUCAAUGUAUUUAAUUUGCUUCUUGAUAUUCUAAUUUCGUUUGUUACGGAAAAAGUUGUAGCUGUUAAUUGUUAUAAAAUAAUUCAUUUUUCUGUAAUGUGAAAUGAACUGAAUAGUUUGUCAAAAUUGAAUAUUUCAGAAAUGAUUACGUUAUACCAAAAAAUGUUCAUGUGUUUAAGGCGUCAGUUCAAUCUCAGGCUACUGAGCAUGAAAAAUUGAAUGUCAGAUUAACCUUGAGAUAUAACGAUUCAUUGCACUAUUUCAGAGAACAACAAGGAAAGUAAGACCGAGGGCUAUUUAUAUGAUCCAAUUUCCCAGGACGAGAUAUGAGGCGGAAUAGAGCAUAACAAUUUUGUUGAAAUUUUGUUGAGCAACAACAUUCCAGUUUCUUUGAACGCCAUUUUCUAGUUAUAUCAAGUGACUCAUCAUCUACCGUCCUUCGGCAAAGCAGUAUCAUGUAGAAAGACCUUAGACAGAGAUCGAUAUACCUUGUGUACAAAAAGAACCGUGCGACUUUGCGAACUUGAAAAGUUGACUGCCAACAACUAAUCAAAUGUAGUGCUGUUUUUGGGACUUGAAGAACUUUAGCAAGCAUUGAAUAUUUGUGUUUUCAUGUAUAUUGUAAAUGUAGUCAAUUAAAAUAAAUGUUGUCAUGUAACUUCUUUAAUUUACACAUUUAAAUAUUGCCUAAAUAUGGCGGCUGAACGCUUGAAGUGGUUGACAAAAAUCAAACCAAUCUUGGAGAUGUACAAUAUUCUUUGCCAUGAGCUCACC
rnacentral:lncRNA from 1 species